CCACCGGAAUUGUCUCACGCCGCGAAAACGCGGAUUUCCCGUUGCCGGCGUUUUCUUCCCGACAGGCUUUAUGCGACAGCUCAUGCAACGCGUGUUUGGGGUUUACAGUCCGCCUGUGGUGUAGACUGGUGUGGCUUCCUGCAUGCGGGAUGCGUCUUCAUCCCGACUCGUAUUGCUGGCAACGACUGCUUAAUCAUUUGGAUUCGGCUCCCCAUCAUUUAUUGAGUGACAGUUAAUUGCAAUUGCAGGGCAAAAGAAGGUAGGAGCUUGCAGAAGAAGAUCAAGUAGUAAGAUUGAACGCUCACGAAGACUGCGAUUUGUUCGUUAAGAGACGGCGUAGCGAGGUACGAAUCGGAUAGUCAUAGGAUUACUUGAACCUGUUGAAUGAAAGUGUAUUUUGUGGUAGAUCAAAGUUCGACUCACGGGAGGAUCUUUAAAAGUUUUUUAUUAAGCUCGAGAAUUCGAGGCAAAGCGCGGUGCCAAAAAGUAGUGGUGGGUAAAAAAACCCAUAAAGUAACAAUCAGGACAAGAUGGUUAAUUUUGGGAAGAAGUUGAAGGAACGACAGUUCCCAGAAUGGCAACGGUACCAUGUCCCUCGCUCCUGGUUACACCCCACAAACAAUGUAUUAGUAUUACUUGAGGAAAUUGGUGGCGACCCAUCUAGAGAUCACAGAGCAGCAGCAGCAGAAGAGCAGCCCUGAACUUGAUGCUAUCAGCGGUUCCUCUCUCAUCAGUGGUGUGGGAAGAAACAAUGCUUUUGGAGGAGAUGGCACGGGACCGUUCUCACUAUAGGACAGAUGUUUUCUAUCUGAAAAUGUCUCCAUUUCUCUUCGUGCCCACAUUCAUAAAUCAACUCAGGAGAAAAUCAGGCCUUAUACACAGGGGAUGCUUGUUAUUCUUGAAUACCAUUCUUGAUGGGUGACAAAAAAUGGAGAGAUUAUUUGGGCAGGUCACCAAUUAUCCAGUCAUUGCUGAACCAAUCAUUGAUUUCAGCAAGGAUAAGAGAGUCCACUGAUUUGCAGAGAUGAUAGUUGGGCUCAACAUACAUGACGAAUUAAGUGUGAGACGAAUUAAGUGUGAAAUGUUUUGAGCCUUAAAUUCAUGUGAUGUUAUGGUGGGAGUUAAUGGUGAAUAAAGAACUAAAAAAUGACUCAACCUCAACCUGAUAAAUUGUUCUUGAAUCUUUAUGUGGACAUCGAUAUGUUGACAAGAGAAAUUGAAAUGUUAGAGGAAAGAAUUAGAGAUUGUUA